rnacentral:rRNA from 1 species
GGGUUGUGAGGUUAAGCGACUAAGCGUACACGGUGGAUGCCCUGGCAGUCAGAGGCGAUGAAGGGCGUGCUAAUCUGCGAUAAGCGCCGGUAAGGUGAUAUGAACCGUUAUAACCGGCGAUACCCGAAUGGGGAAACCCAGUGUGAUUCGUCACACUAUCAUUAACUGAAUCCAUAGGUUAAUGAGGCGAACCGGGGGAACUGAAACAUCUAAGUACCCCGAGGAAAAGAAAUCAACCGAGAUUCCCCCAGUAGCGGCGAGCGAACGGGGAGGAGCCCAGAGCCUGAAUCAGCAUGUGUGUUAGUGGAAGCGUCUGGAAAGGCGCGCGAUACAGGGUGACAGCCCCGUACACAAAAGCGCAUGUGCUGUGAGCUCGAUGAGUAGGGCGGGACACGUGGUAUCCUGUCUGAAUAUGGGGGGACCAUCCUCCAAGGCUAAAUACUCCUGACUGACCGAUAGUGAACCAGUACCGUGAGGGAAAGGCGAAAAGAACCCCGGCGAGGGGAGUGAAAAAGAACCUGAAACCGUGUACGUACAAGCAGUGGGAGCACCCUUUGGGUGUGACUGCGUACCUUUUGUAUAAUGGGUCAGCGACUUAUAUUCUGUAGCAAGGUUAACCGA